CCUACGUGGGGCUGCAGUGAGGAAUAUUGGUCAAUGGACGAGAGUCUGAACCAGCCAAGUAGCGUGAAGGAUGACUGCCCUAUGGGUUGUAAACUUCUUUUAUAUGGGAAUAAAAUGUUCCACGUGUGGGAUUUUGUAUGUACCAUAUGAAUAAGGAUCGGCUAACUCCGUGCCAGCAGCCGCGGUAAUACGGAGGAUCCGAGCAUUAUCCGGAUUUAGUGGGGUUCAAGGGAGCGUAGGUGGAUUGUUAAGUCAGUUGUGAAAGUUUGCGGCGUAACCGUAAAAUUGCAGUUGAAACUGGCAGUCUUGAGUUCAGUAGAGGUGGGCGGAAUUCGUGGUGUAGCGGUGAAAUGCUUAGAUAUCACGAAGAACUCCGAUUGCGAAGGCAGCUCACUGGACUGCAACUGACACUGAGGCUCGAAAGUGUGGGUAUCAAACAGGAUUAGAUACCCUAGUAGUC
rnacentral:rRNA from 1 species